CUCUGCCACCCUCUAAGCGAUCCUAUCUUCCUGCAGCCUGGAGAAUCUUUCCCAGUUGAAAAUCUGAACUGUCACUCCCCUCCUUAAAACCCCUUCAAAGUUUCUCAUGGCCUUGGAAUAAAGCCCACACAGGCUCACCUGUUCACAAAGUCCUUAGGAUACAGCCUCACUUUCAGCCUAAGCUCCAGACACACCAAAUUCC
rnacentral:lncRNA from 10 species